rnacentral:lncRNA from 1 species
AGAGUGUCACUGGAGGGAGACUGUGCAGACUUCAAGAGCAUAGCCAAGGAGAGGAUGGUUUUGAUCUACUGCCUGAAGACAUGCUGUGUCACCACCAGAGCCCAAACAACUGGACAGAGCCAGCACCAACCAAAACCUACAAAGCUAUCUGGUUUAUCCCUUCCCAGAAGACAAACUGCAACCAGAUGAAGGCCUUAUUGUCAUCCAAACUUGCCUGGAACUAGUUAAGGAUAAACGGACUCUCCUGUCUGUACCGCUGUAUGUCACCACUGUGUGUCACCACACCCAAGCUUACUUAGUGCUGGAGAUUAGUCCACUGCUUUCUGUCUGCCAGGCAAACUUUCUACUCCCUCAGGAACAUCCACAGCCACAACUACAAAAUUGUGUUCAUUGUGAGUCAAGUACUCUGUAUAUAUAGUCAUCAUUCUUCCGGUCCAAGAUCACCUAAAGUUGUCAUCUUUUUUUUUUUUCAAUUGAGAAUACAUUGGUGGAAAACACCCAGUUUCAGAUUUUUGUGAUGGGAAACGUUGUCAUCUCAAGAGGAAAUUCUCAGUCACAUGUAGAUUGCCUUGGAAAAAUAGAUUCCACUAAAUAUCUUUACAUUAUUUAAAUGAUGUUGUUUGUAUAAGUACAUUUAUAAUGUUCACUAUUUUCUGUAACUUGGGGAAAUGAGGCAUAGAAAGACAAAAAGCAGAGAGGCAAGGCUACAAAAGGUUGAGAGACUGAAGAAAGGGUCUGCAAGCUGGAAAAUCGAUAACUAGCUGCUAUUUAUUUCUCCCCAAAGCCCAUUUUAUUGCAAAGCAAUUUUUAAUCUGUAUUUGACCUAAAGACCAGUGAAGGAAGAAGAAAAAUACUUUUUCUUCAGUUACAUUAGGGCUACCUCAAUUGUGUUUAAUUCCAACAUACAAUUUCAAUUUUGAGAUUUACCAAGUGGGAUUCCUAGGGUAGAGAUUGAUGGUCAUUUGGCCUCUUUUCUCAGUGGUUCAGUUGGUUUUGCAGAAAACAAGGACUCUUGUUUGAUUUUCACUGUGCCCCAUGGAUCAACUCCAUUUCCAUAAUUGAAUAUUACAGUAUGGGUAUGUCUCUUCACCCCCACAGGUGUGUGCAUGUGAUUCUCUGCAACACCCACAUGACAUCACCAACCUGUUUGACUAUAAAAACCCUGGAUGCCUUCCUGGGCAAAGUAUUGAUCGUGAAUAGCAGAGAAAUUAAAUUUGUAUCUUUAUCAUAUUAAAUCUAGAUGAAAUUAUAUCAUCUGUUGUUCUGUAUUAUAAAUUCUGAGUGUUUGUACAUUGAUCAUGCUGAGAAUUAUACUUUGAAAUUGGGUAGAAAAGUCCUUAAUGAUUUUUUUUUUGUGACAUGUUGGUAAUUAAAUAGUGAGAAAAAUAAUUCCUGGACUUGAAAAGCAAGGUAGCAAAUGAAGGUUUUAUGCACAAAAUAAUAUCCUGUCACCUUCUGCUUAAACAGCACAAAUAUCUGUGGAGCUACAAAGGCUUAUCAGUACAUUUUAAAUGUUUGAUUAUUUACAGAUAUUGAAUAUCUCAGCUGUUUCAAAAGAACAAAACAGUUAACAAAAAUGUGUUCAUUACUUAGCUAGGAAAUAAAAUAAUUAGAAUAUAAUG